AGCCAUGCUUUUCCACAGCUUUCUUGAACUUUCUUUGCUCUUCCCCCUCUUCUCAUGCUCAUUUGUAUGUAAAAUCUCUCUUAGAUUUUACCCAAAAUUUUAAAUUUAAAAAAAAAGACUUUGGAAGUUCAAGAAAGCUGUGGGAGAACAUGGCAU
rnacentral:pre_miRNA from 2 species